rnacentral:rRNA from 1 species
AUGGCUGCAAAAGUGAAUACACACUCAGUCCGGGGUGUCACGGGUUCGAACUUUAGGGAGCAUGUCAGACUAAAACCUAAGCAUAAUUGGCAUAUAAUGAAGAAGGGUUUUGCUACCAAGCAAAAGUCUUGCGUGUUGCAUCAGAACACCAAGGACUCAAGGAGCCACCAUAUGCCAAAUCUCUUUCCCUUCCUCUUUCCUAUCUUUUUCUCCAGUCCGUCUGCCGUUGAAUAG